GCAGCACAGACGCUUCCACCCGGGACUCAGCUGACCGCACCAUUAUUGCCUGGGAUUUCCGGACCUCUGCCAAAAUCUCCAACCAGAUUUUCCACGAGAGGUUCACCUGCCCCAGCCUCGCCUUGCACCCGAGAGAGCCCGUGUUCCUGGCACAGACCAAUGGCAACUACCUGGCCCUUUUCUCCACUGUGUGGCCCUACCGGAUGAGCAGACGGCGGCGCUAUGAAGGGCACAAGGUACUUCUGUCCUUGUCCCCCAGGCGAAUGCUGAGCCCCAGCCCCAAGCCUCCUGGCAGUCCUGGACAUGGGCCCUGGGGUGCAUGGAGCCUCUGUCUGGGUGGAUCCUGCUUUCUGUUUCCUGGGUGAGCGCAUGCCAUGUGGCUCACUGUCUCUUCAAGUCCCUGAACCACAUCUGGUCCUCACCCCAGGCCCCACGUACUGGGCAGGAAGCAGUAGUUGGCUCACACAGACAGGUCUCAGAAGUGGGGGGCAGGAACAGGACAAAAUGGUCAUGGGUGUCAUUUCUGCAUCCUUCCCUUUCCUCACUGAGGCCAAGCCUUGCUGGGGUGGAAGGGGCUGGGUGCUUAGUGACUGUCACUGAGGCCAGACCCCUCAGCUGGGCUGGAGCUGGUCCCGCUGGAUCUGCUGAACUG
rnacentral:lncRNA from 1 species